rnacentral:rRNA from 1 species
AUUGAACGCUGGCGGCAUGCCUUACACAUGCAAGUCGAACGGCAGCACGGAGCUUGCUCUGGUGGCGAGUGGCGAACGGGUGAGUAAAAUAUCGGAACGUACCCAGGAGUGGGGGAUAACGUAGCGAAAGUUACGCUAAUACCGCAUACGUCCUAAGGGAGAAAGUGGGGGAUCGCAAGACCUCAUGCUCAUGGAGCGGCCGAUAUCUGAUUAGCUAGUUGGUGGGGUAAAGGCCCACCAAGGCAACGAUCAGUAGCUGGUCUGAGAGGACGACCAGCCACACUGGAACUGAGACACGGUCCAGACUCCUACGGGAGGCAGCAGUGGGGAAUUUUGGACAAUGGGGGCAACCCUGAUCCAGCAAUGCCGCGUGAGUGAAGAAGGCCUUCGGGUUGUAAAGCUCUUUUGUCAGGGAAGAAAAGGUAGGGGCUAAUAUCCCUUGCUCAUGACGGUACCUGAAGAAUAAGCACCGGCUAACGACGUGCCAGCCGCCGCCGUAAAAC